GCCUGUAACCCUAGACGCUUAACGGAAAAUCACCUCAGAAACGGCCCUCCCAGCACCCAUCCAUCCCCGGGAGGCUGGUCCGAUAUCCCAGAGGCUCCUGUGCGGGAGUGCUUGGAUGUUCCUGCAGACUGUGUUGCUGGUCAGAGUCCAGUCUACUUUCCACCUUGAAAACUGGAAUAGGCGGAGUCUUCAGCUCCUGCAGAUGAAGCUCUGAUGGAGAUGGAAAAGACGAUGGAGCAGUUGUCAAAACCUGCAUCUCUGUGCAUGUUUCCUCAGAUUCAGUUUUUAUUCUCACACACUGGGAGUCAACUUCUAAUUCUCGCUUUCCAGCCUCACAGCAACCUUUCAUGCUGCUGUAUACCCACAAUCCCAGUUCUCGGGGAGAUGAGACCAAGAAGAAAGGAUCUUAAGUCUGAGGCCUGCCUGACCUACAUACCAAGUUCAAGGCUGUGCUGAGCUACACAGUGAGACCCUGGAUCAGAGGAUUUGGGGUUUUUGUUUUAUUUUGCUUUUUAAGUUUUAUUCUAAAUGGGAUGCAUUUACUGUUAUCUCAUUAGGAAACUUGAGCUUUGUUACAAUAAAAUCAGGCUGCCACCAGGCAGUAGUGGCACACUCCUUUAAUCCCAGUACUCAGGAAGCAGAGGCAGGCGUAUCUCUGAGUUCAGGGCAAACCUGGUCUACAGAGUGAGU